UAGGGAAUCUUCCGCAAUGGACGCAAGUCUGACGGAGCAACGCCGCGUGAGUGAAGAAGGAUUUCGGUUCGUAAAACUCUGUUGUUAGAGAAGAACAGCGCAUAGAGUAACUGUUAUGCGUGUGACGGCAUCUAACCAGAAAGCCACGGCUAACUACGUGCCAGCAGCCGCGGUAAUACGUAGGUGGCAAGCGUUGUCCGGAUUUAUUGGGCGUAAAGCGAGCGCAGGCGGUCAAUUAAGUCUGAUGUGAAAGCCCCCGGCUCAACCGGGGAGGGUCAUUGGAAACUGGUUGACUUGAGUGCAGAAGAGGAGAGUGGAAUUCCAUGUGUAGCGGUGAAAUGCGUAGAUAUAUGGAGUAACACCAGUGGCGAAGGCGACUCUCUGGUCUGUAACUGACGCUGAGGAUCAAAAGCGUGGGUAGCAAACAGG
rnacentral:rRNA from 1 species